rnacentral:misc_RNA from 1 species
UUUCCGUAGGUGAACCUGCGGAAGGAUCAUUACAGUAGUCACCCAGGUUGCCGCCAGGCCUCCUGGGUAACCUACCACCCUUUGUUUAUUACACUUUGUUGCUUUGGCAAGCCUGCCCUCGGGCUGCUGGCUCCGGCCGGCGAGCGCUUGCCAGAGGACCUAAACUCUGUUUGUCUAUACUGUCUGAGUACUAUAUAAUAGUUAAAACUUUCAACAACGGAUCUCUUGGUUCUG